UACGUAGGGUCCGAGCGUUGUCCGGAAUUAUUGGGCGUAAAGGGCUCGUAGGCGGUUCGUCACGUCGGGAGUGAAAACUCGGGGCUUAACCCCGAGCCUGCUUCCGAUACGGGCAGACUAGAGGUAGGCAGGGGAGAGCGGAACUCCUGGUGUAGCGGUGGAAUGCGCAGAUAUCAGGAAGAACACCGGUGGCGAAGGCGGCUCUCUGGGCCUUACCUGACGCUGAGGAGCGAAGGCGUGGGGAGCGAACAGG
rnacentral:rRNA from 1 species